AUGCACUAUAAAAUAGGCUUGCCAUUUCGUUUGUUCUUUCUUAGAACUUACAUAUCACACAAUAAUCUGCAACUCGCUCCUUUAGCACAAACACUAGUUAAAAUGAGGACUACCCAGAUGUUGCUUCUGUCCCUGGUCUUUCUCAUGCUAGCAUCAGAUGUGGUAGUGGAGGCAUCAAUGGAUGAUAGCAUGAAACUCUACACAUGUGUGCAAAAAAUUAUCCCAUCAACAAAGCCAUGUGAUAGCAAAACUUGCGAAAAAAAAUGUGUGAAACGUACAAGGCAAACCAAAUCUAGCAUGUGUGUUCUUGAGGGGUGCCAGUGCACGUUAUGCAUAGAUCCGGCUCCAACCAUCCAUGAUAAUGAACAAAUGGGUACCAAUUAG
rnacentral:rRNA from 1 species